GUCUGUAUUACUUUGAAUAUACAACAGACAAAGAGCCUCGGGGGAUCAUUCCACUGGAGAAUCUUAGUAUAAGAGAGGUGGAAGAACCAAGAAAACCAAAUUGCUUUGAGCUUUACAACCCCAGUCAUAAGGGGCAGGUAAUUAAGGCAUGCAAGACAGAGGCUGAUGGGAAGGUGGUGGAGGGGAAUCACGUGGUGUACAGAAUAUCCGCACCCACGCCGGAGGAGA